rnacentral:misc_RNA from 1 species
UUAAGUUCAGCGGGUAUCCCUACCUGAUCCGAGGUCAACCUGAAAAAUUGGGGGUUAUUGGCAAGCACACACCCGGAUCUCCAAAGCGAGAAGAAUUACUACGCUUGAAGCCGAAUGGCACCGCCACUGAUUUAAGGCCUGCCGGAAGCCGGCAGGGCCCAAUACCAAGCAGAGCUCGAGGGUUGUAAUGACGCUCGAAC